AAGGGAGACCUAAUUCAGGUAGGAGACGAAAAAAAAGUAGUCGCUACCAAGAAUCAAUCCCAAAAGGUCGGAGCGAGGCGAAAUUGGCUUUCAAGCUAGGUUCUGGGUUCACACAAGACCUGAAUCAGGAACAAGGGCUAUUAGCUCAGGUGGUUAGAGCGCACCCCUGAUAAGGGUGAGGUCCCUGGUUCGAGUCCAGGAUGGCCCACCUGUACAGGUGGCAAAAAGAAAGAAAAGAAGCGAGGAAUCAGCACCUUAUCUUACUGACAUAGUAAGAGAGAAUGCUGGCUCUGAGUAAAGAGUCCAGAGGAACCUUGAAAACUGCAUAGAGCUAGGUGAAAAAGCCAAAAAAGAAGACCGCAA
rnacentral:tRNA from 1 species